UGCCAGCCGCCGCGGUAAUACGGAGGGGCAAGUGUUAUUCGAAAUUACUGGGCGUAAAGGGUAAGUAGGUGGUUUAUUAAGUUGUAGAUUAAAGCCCAAAGCUUAACUUUGGUUAAGUCUACAAAACUGUUAAACUAGAAUUGAGUAGAGGAUAGUGGAAUUUCUAAUGGAGGGUUAAGUUCUGCAGAUAUUAGAAGGAACAUCAAAGGCGAAGGCAACUAUCUGGGCUCAUAUUGACACUGAAUUACGAAGGCGUAGGUAGCGAACAGGAUUAGAUA
rnacentral:rRNA from 1 species